CGCCUGAGGAGUACGGCCGCAAGGUUAAAACUCAAAUGAAUUGACGGGGGCCCGCACAAGCGGUGGAGCAUGUGGUUUAAUUCGAUGCAACGCGAAGAACCUUACCUACUCUUGACAUCCUAAGAAGCUUUCAGAGAUGAGAGUGUGCCUUCGGGAACUUAGAGACAGGUGCUGCAUGGCUGUCGUCAGCUCGUGUUGUGAAAUGUUGGGUUAAGUCCCGCAACGAGCGCAACCCUUAUCCUUUGUUGCCAGCGAUUCGGUCGGGAACUC
rnacentral:rRNA from 1 species